GAUGAAGAACGUAGCGAAAUGCGAUAAGUAAUGUGAAUUGCAGAAUUCAGUGAAUCAUCGAAUCUUUGAACGCACAUUGCGCCCGUCAGUAUUCUGGCGGGCAUGCCUGUUCGAGCGUCAUUACGCCCCUCAAGUCCCCUGUGGACUUGGUGUUGGGGAUCGGCGAGGCUGGUUUUCCAGCACAGCCGUCCCUUAAAUUAAUUGGCGGUCUCGCCGUGGCCCUCCUCUGCGCAGUAGUAAAACACUCGCAACAGGAGCCCGGCGCGGUCCACUGCCGUAAAACCCCCCAACUUUUUAUAGUUGACCUCGAAUCAGGUAGGACUACCCGCUCAACUUAAGCAUAUCAAUAAGCGGAGGA
rnacentral:misc_RNA from 1 species